GACGAACGCUGGCGGCGUGCUUAACACAUGCAAGUCGAACGAAGAGCGAUGGAAGCUUGCUUCUAUCAAUCUUAGUGGCGAACGGGUGAGUAACGCGUAAUCAACCUGCCCUUCAGAGGGGGACAACAGUUGGAAACGACUGCUAAUACCGCAUACGAUCCAAUCUCGGCAUCGAGGAUGGAUGAAAGGUGGCCUCUAUUUAUAAGCUAUCACUGAAGGAGGGGAUUGCGUCUGAUUAGCUAGUUGGAGGGGUAACGGCCCACCAAGGCGAUGAUCAGUAGCCGGUCUGAGAGGAUGAACGGCCACAUUGGGACUGAGACACGGCCCAGACUCCUACGGGAGGCAGCAGUGGGGAAUCUUCCGCAAUGGACGAAAGUCUGACGGAGCAACGCCGCGUGAGUGAUGACGGCCUUCGGGUUGUAAAGCUCUGUUAAUCGGGACGAAAGGUCCUCUUGCGAAUAGUUAGAGGAAUUGACGGUACCGGAAGAGAAAGCCACGGCUAACUACGUG
rnacentral:rRNA from 1 species